rnacentral:rRNA from 1 species
UACGUAGGAGGCAAGCGUUGUCCGGAUUUACUGGGCGUAAAGAGCGUGUAGGCGGUUCGUACAGUCCGCUGUGAAAUCUCCAGGCUCAACCUGGAGUAGUCGGUGGAAACUAGCGAACUUGAGGACGGUAGAGGGGGGUGGAAUUCCCGGUGUAGUGGUGAAAUGCGUAGAGAUCGGGAGGAACACCAGCGGCGAAGGCGGCCCCCUGGGCCGCUCCUGACGCUGAGACGCGAAGGCCAGGGGAGCAAACGGG